UUUUAGUGGCAAUAAAAAGGAAUUGCCACAAUAAAAAGUACUCCAGUAUUAUUUUUAUCCUUCCCUCCAAAUAUUUAGACUAAAAUAACAUAUUCCCUCUAAAUGUUUAGAAUAAAAUAACAUAUUCCCUCCUGUUCCUUCCGCCUAAGUCGGGGAAAUUUAGGAAAAUAUUUCAGAAAUAUACAAAUCUCUCAUCCCCUGUAAUUCUUAUCGUUGCUGCACUACCGCCGAACUUCUGUCUCAUGGCAGCGCCACCAUCCCCAGAAGAAACAAUGUGAACCAGAGGUGGCAAGUGAAUGGUUAUUGAAGAACAAUGUGAUGAUGAAGGUGUGCAACCUUAUAUUGAACAACUGAUGGAUGGUCAGAACUACUCUCAAGCCCAAACACAUGAUGGCCAAUCUAAUGAUUUUAAUAAUUCGGCUGACACCGAGAUUCAACAAAAUGAUGAUUCAGGGAAGACAAUUGAUGUGCAAAUCAAUAGUCGUAACCAAUUCAUUGGGAAAGAGGGUCGAAAGCUGGCUAGCUUUCUAGGGAUUGUCGCUAGAACUCCAGAACUAACUCCAUUACAAUGUCCGUGAUACCAACAGUGGUCAUGAAUGAGUACCACAAGUGCAACAGAAUCAUAGCAUUUGUGAAAAUACUCCAUCUUCUUAUGUUGUAUUGGUUGAAGGUGUAGAAGAGCAACAGUCAAAUACGGGUUAUUAAUGAGGUUAUACCGAUAAAGUUUGAAAAUUUAGUAGGAGAAGGAUUUCAAUAGGAUGAAGAGUUGCAGAAAUAGUUUGAGGGCUAUGCAUGUACUAUUUUAUUAUUGUUGGUAUUCGACAUGAUUAAUUACAAUGACAUUACUUGUUUAGUUUAAACAAUAUAAUUAUUUUUAA